CAAGCUGGGGACAUGGAAGAGGGAAUUUUAAAGGGAGAUUCAGAAGUGAGUAUAAGGUGAAAUAAGUGGUUUCUUAAGGUACCCAAUCAUCCAAUGAUUCACCAGCAAGUUGUCUCAUGACUCGGUGACAUUGUUAGUAAGUACUUAAUUAUCAAGAACUUAAGCUUCGUACUUCGAUUGAAAUUUUGCAAAUAAUGAGAUAUAUUACUGCCAGUGGCUACACCAUAGCUAAUUUAAAAUUAGAGUUUUGAAAUAAAAAGAGAUAUAAUAGUGUCUACUUUACUCAUUUACACAUAUCUAAAGAAGAACAAUGGGACGUCUUAUGUUCUUUCAUAGUUGCAUGUACGCACUCUUGUCUACCAAAUCGCAGAAUCCAUCCGUAUCUUGAAUUCUUCUUUUCUAUGUAUCGUUGAAAUAUAUGAGAUUUUCUCCUAUAUAAGUGGCUAGACUAUAAUCACUUAGGCACAGAAAAUGGCUACGUUCAAAGGAGCUUAGAAA